CACGUCGAUGGAACGACGUCGGCUGACGGGGAUGGCAGCCAAGGACAUCGCAGGACGGCGAUUCACCAGGAUGGUGAACCAGGGAAGAAGGGAACAAACAAGGAGGCGGGGGCUACCCCGCCUCCUUU
rnacentral:sRNA from 1 species